rnacentral:lncRNA from 1 species
AGACAGGGUCUCCUCCGUACCUCAUCCUUCUCCAGAGGAGGCACACCAAUCUUUCUAGAAGUCAGGGCCACCUGGGCAGGUCCCAUGCAUGGAACCUUCCACUUCCUGCAGAACGAAGUCCUUUCAUUAACUCAUUUGUCCUUUAAGGCUGGGUUAUUGGCACUGUCCAGAUGAUGCCUGCAGCACAGUGUGGCUGAGACAAACUGGCCAAUUAACAGACAGAGAUGAGCAGGGCA